AUGCGGUCCGGAGGGUCCAGAACAGGGGUAAAGACGACAUCGUAUAUGCGUAUGUGGAUGAAGCCAAGGAGGGGCGGCUUCUGGUGGUGGACGCGGAAGCAGUGUAGGAACUUGGGGUCGGUGACGAGGUGCUGCCAGCGUUUGCAGACGGCGGAGGCGCACGGGAGGGAGGAUGGCUGCGGAGGGAGACGCAGAAGGAUCUCCCUGAGGAGAUCUUCGACUUCAAGCGGGGACGCAGGUGCCGCCGGCGAGCAUCCGCUUCGUCGGGCCGCUUCGGCGCCCUCCUCGGUGGCGUCGAUUUGUCGGGGCUGCUGCUGCGCCAUCGUGGCUCGCGUUCGUUUGGGCGCCGCGAAGACCUAG
rnacentral:rRNA from 1 species